UACGAAGGGGGCUAGCGUUGCUCGGAAUUACUGGGCGUAAGGCGCACGUAGGCGGCUUUCUAAGUCGGGGGUGAAAUCCUGGAGCUCAACUCCAGAACUGCCUUCGAUACUGGAGAGCUCGAGUCCGGGAGAGGUGAGUGGAACUGCGAGUGUAGAGGUGAAAUUCGUAGAUAUUCGCAAGAACACCAGUGGCGAAGGCGGCUCACUGGCCCGGUACUGACGCUGAGGUGCGAAAGCGUGGGGAGCAAACAGG
rnacentral:rRNA from 1 species